rnacentral:rRNA from 1 species
UACAGAGGUGGCAAGCGUUGUUCGGAAUUACUGGGCGUAAAGGGCGAGUAGGUGGCCAUCUAAGUCAGACGUGAAAUCCCCCGGCUUAACCUGGGAACUGCGUCUGAUACUGGACGGCUUGAGUAUGGGAGAGGAACGUAGAAUUCCAGGUGUAGCGGUGAAAUGCGUAGAUAUCUGGAGGAAUACCGGUGGCGAAGGCGGCGUUCUGGACCAUUACUGACACUGAAUCGCGAAAGCCAGGGGAGCAAACGGG